UACAGAGACUGCGAGCGUUAUCCGGAUUCAUUGGGUUUAAAGGGAGCGUAGGUGGCCUUAUAAGUCAGUGGUGAAAUCUCUGGGCUUAACCCAGAAAUUGCCAUUGAUACUGUAGGGCUUGAGUAUAGAUGCCGUUGGCGGAAUAUGACAUGUAGUGGUGAAAUACAUAGAGAUGUCAUAGAACACCGAUUGCGAAGGCAGCUAACGAAACUAUAACUGACACUGAGGCUCGAAAGUGUGGGGAUCAAACAGG
rnacentral:rRNA from 1 species